GCUGGGAAGCCAACUUCUGCUUUGAAAAGCCAAGAAUGAAGCUUUUUGUGCCUUUCACUUGGGCUCCACUCAAGGUUUUCGGGAAUUGGAAGUUACCCUCUGUGCAAAACAGAAGAGAACAUUAAUUAUUCAGUGUACACCUGCCAAAAUACUGCUUGUGUCAACAAUAUGAGGGCAUUUCAAAUAGUUUAUGGAAAAAAAAAAAGGAAUUUGAAAAAGAAGUUAUUUGAGGGUAGAAAAGUUUUUGAAAUCUAUAUAUGCUCUUUCAUAAUGCACAUUUUCCAUGAACUUCUUAAAGACUUCUCAUGUAUGCUUCAAGCUGAAAAUAAAGGCCACAUGAGACAGAAAAGGCAAAUAAAAUGAUGCUGAGACUUUAAUGCAACAAAAUAGCACGAAUUCUGCCACUAGUGAAACGUUCGCCAAAGCUCGGUCCUCAAGUUUACUCCAAGUUUCUAUUUCUUUGUUUGAAAAUAUGGCUAUCAGUGCAUGGAUCACCAGAGAGUAUUAUGAAGGUAUGAUUAGUUAUGCGAGUCAGCAUUUCUCAAUGGGAAGACUUCAUCCUCCAGGGGACACAUGGCCCCCUCUGGGGAUAUCUGGAGGAGCUGGUGCUUGUGGUACCUCGCAGGAAAAGGGCAGGGCUUCUUCUAAACAUGCAACCAAUGCACGGUCCAUCCCUUCUUUAGUCAAUAAGGAUUUGACCCAAAAAACCUGUAAGUGCUGAGCCUGAGACACACUGUUACUACAUAACUGCCUUAGCAUAACAGCGAGAGUUUCCUAGGAACUCAAAAAUUGUUAUGUUGUGCUAUCACAACUUUAUCUUUUUAUCCUUUUCAUUAUCACCAUCAUCCUCAUAUCCUGUUCAAGUAAGUGUCAGAAACUGUGGCCAUAGAUGGGGUGAGAUUGGAAAUGAUCCUUGAUGCUGCCUUCUUAUCAGGCAAGAAUCCCACAUUUUUCCUACUGUGAAAUACUAUGGGAUGUGCCUCCUUUUUCUACAUUCAAACCUGACUGUCGCUGUAACAAACUCCUUCUAUAAAUCUACCAACAUUUCUGUG